AAUGAACGCUGGCGGCAGGCCUAACACAUGCAAGUCGAACGGAUCCUUCGGGAUUAGUGGCGGACGGGUGAGUAACGCGUGGGAACAUACCCAAAGGUACGGAAUAGCCUCGGGAAACUGGGAGUAAUACCGUAUGUGCUCGAAAGAGGAAAGAUUUAUCGCCUUUGGAUUGGCCCGCGUUGGAUUAGGUAGUUGGUGGGGUAAUGGCCUACCAAGCCGACGAUCCAUAGCUGGUUUGAGAGGAUGAGCAGCCACACUGGGACUGAUACACGGCCCAGACUCCUACGGGAGGCAGCAGUGGGGAAUCUUAGACAAUGGGGGAAACCCUGAUCUAGCCAUGCCGCGUGAUCGAUGAAGGCCUUAGGGUUGUAAAGAUCUUUCAGGUGGGAAGAUAAUGACUGUACCACCAGAAGAAGCCCCGGCUAACUCCGUGCCAGCCGCCGCUGUAA
rnacentral:rRNA from 1 species